rnacentral:tRNA from 1 species
CUAUAGCUCAGCAGUAGAGUGCAUGAUUAUUAUUCAUGAGACUCUAGGUUCAAUCCCCAGCAG